rnacentral:snRNA from 1 species
CUCAUCUUGGCAAGACGUAUACAAAAAUUGGAAUGAUACAGAGAUCUGCAUGGCACCUGCUCAAGGAUGCCAUGCAAAUAUGGGAAGCGCUUGUUUAAAAU